rnacentral:rRNA from 1 species
AGUGAACGCUGGCGGUAGGCCUAACACAUGCAAGUCGAACGGCAGCACAGGAGAGCUUGCUCUCUGGGUGGCGAGUGGCGGACGGGUGAGGAAUACAUCGGAAUCUACUCUGUCGUGGGGGAUAACGUAGGGAAACUUACGCUAAUACCGCAUACGACCUACGGGUGAAAGCAGGGGACCUUCGGGCCUUGCGCGAUUGAAUGAGCCGAUGUCGGAUUAGCUAGUUGGCGGGGUAAAGGCCCACCAAGGCGACGAUCCGUAGCUGGUCUGAGAGGAUGAUCAGCCACACUGGAACUGGGACACGGUCCAACCUCCUACGGGAGGCAGCAGUGGGGAAUAUUGGACAAUGGGCGCAAGCCUGAUCCAGCCAUACCGCGUGGGUGAAGAAGGCCUUCGGGUUGUAAAGCCCUUUUGUUGGGAAAGAAAUCCAGCUGGCUAAUACCCGGUUGGGAUGACGGUACCCAAAGAAUAAGCACCGGCUAACUUCGUGCCAGCAGCCGCCGUAA